UACGAAGGGGGCUAGCGUUGCUCGGAAUGACUGGGCGUAAAGGGCGCGUAGGCGGAUGGCACAGUCAGAUGUGAAAUUCCCGGGCUUAACCUGGGGGCUGCAUUUGAUACGUGUGAUCUAGAGUGAGGAAGAGGGUCGUGGAAUUCCCAGUGUAGAGGUGAAAUUCGUAGAUAUUGGGAAGAACACCGGUGGCGAAGGCGGCGAUCUGGGAAGAUACUGACGCUGAGGUGCGAAAGCGUGGGGAGCAAACAGG
rnacentral:rRNA from 1 species